rnacentral:lncRNA from 1 species
CGGCCGCUGGGCCCCUUGGUGCUGGCUUUGGGUGGCGCCGCAGCCGUGCUGGGCUCGGUGCUCUUUAUCCUCUGGAAAGCUUACUUCGGCCGCGGCCGGGAGCGGCGCUGGGACGGUGGCGAGGCCUGGUGGGGCGCGGACACUGACCGCCUACCUCAGUGGGACGAGUGGGAGCCGGAGGACGAUGAAGAUGAGCCGGCAUUGGAGGAACUGGAGCAACGCGAAGUGCUGGUGCUGGGCUUGGAUGGCUCAGGGAAAAGCACGUUUCUGCGCAUGCUGGCUGGGAAGCCACCGGUGGAAGGCCACGUCCCCACCUGGGGCUUCAACUCUGUUCGGCUGCCUACCAAGAAUUUCGAGGUGGACCUGUUAGAGAUUGGUGGCAGCCAGAACCUGCGCUUCUACUGGAAGGAGUUUGUGAAUGAGGUGGACGUGCUGGUGUUCAUGGUGGACUCGACUGACCGGCUAAGGUUGCCCUGGGCUCGGCAGGAGCUGCAGAAACUGCUGGACAAGGAUCCUGACCUGCCUGUUGUCAUAGUGGCCAACAAGCAAGACCUGAGUGGAGCCAUGAGUAUGGUGGAGCUGCAGCAGGAGCUGG